UCUCUCCUGGAAACGGGUGGUAAUGCCGGAUGCUCCAGUUGAUCGCAUGGUCUUCUGGGAAAGCUUUCGCGGUAUGGGAUGGGGUCGCGUCCUAUCAGCUUGACGGCGGGGUAACGGCCCACCGUGGCUUCGACGGGUAGCCGGCCUGAGAGGGCGACCGGCCACAUUGGGACUGAGAUACGGCCCAGACUCCUACGGGAGGCAGCAGUGGGGAAUAUUGCACAAUGGGCGCAAGCCUGAUGCAGCGACGCCGCGUGAGGGAUGGAGGCCUUCGGGUUGUAAACCUCUUUUAUCGGGGAGCAAGCGUGAGUGAGUUUACCCGUUGAAUAAGCACCGGCUAACUACGUGCCAGCAGCCGCGGUAAUACGUAGGGUGCAAGCGUUAUCCGGAAUUAUUGGGCGUAAAGGGCUCGUAGGCGGUUCGUCGCGUCCGGUGUGAAAGUCCAUCGCUUAACGGUGGAUCCGCGCCGGGUACGGGCGGGCUUGAGUGCGGUAGGGGAGACUGGAAUUCCCGGUGUAACGGUGGAAUGUGUAGAUAUCGGAAAGAAACACCA
rnacentral:rRNA from 1 species